UGAAGCGGAUGUUCAUCAUAUCAGCAUCGGUAGCGUGCCCCAAACCAAGUUUUUGAAGAAUCGGUUUUUGUUUCGUAUAAACACCCUGUUCAAUGCGAUGACGCUUCGAAGGUGAAAUGAAAUGAAAUGAGGCCCACGCUGGCGACACACCCCCAAAUCAAUAAUUUUUGCGUCACCACAACAUGAAUAAUGACGUCAUUAAAUCAAUAAUGUUGGAGAAAUUGAAAAAUUUAUUUAUAUUAAAUUAAUAAAAACAAGUUCGAAAUGAUACAAACGAAGUGACACAUGAAGUGGAUAGAAAAGUAUACGAUAACAAGAUGACGAGCUUUUUGCAUCCAACCAUCUAGAAGAAAUUAAAAAAGAACCAACCGAGAAGAUAGUAAGAAAAAUGAAAGAAUUGGCCCAGUACCUCCAAGAAUAUAUGGGUUACCUAAGAUCCAUAAACCAGAUGUCCCGCUACGCCUUAUUGUAAGUACCAUAAAUUCUCCUACCUAUCAGCUAGCAAAACACUUCGCCAAGAUUCUGGUAUUAAUUAGGAGUAUGAAGUUAGAUCUCCAGGAUAUCCUGGUAAGUUUCGAAGUGGAAUCUCUAUUCACCAGAGUAUCAGUGAAGGAUGCCGUGGAUGGUCUUCGCCAGAAACUCAAUUCCACAAAGUAUAUCCUUGUUGUAUCCACUUUGUAUGUUCGAGAGGCAUUUCUUAGCUCUACGUGUACGGCUGUUGGAUUUUGAAUAUAAGAAGACGUAAAUAGAUCCGUAAACGGACAGCAUGUGUCAAAACUAGAAUGUUCUAUAUUACGUCCUUAGUUUACGUUUUUUUUUUUGUUAAGUUGUCAAAUAAAAAUAUAACCUAAAUUAUUUUACG